GCCGCCGGUCCGGGUCCGCCAUGGCCUCGAACUGCGCGGGGGGUUCGUCGGCGGGGGGCGUCGGGGCGGCGUUGGGUUCGGCCCUCAGCGCCAGCAAAACCAAGACCAAGAAGAAACACUUCGUCUGCCAGAAGGUGAAGCUGUUCCGGGCCUCGGAGCCGCUGCUCAGCGUCCUCAUGUGGGGGGCCAACCACACGAUCAAUGAACUCAGCAAUGUUCCUGUCCCUGUCAUGUUAAUGCCCGAUGACUUUAAAGCCUACAGUAAGAUUAAGGUGGACAAUCAUCUAUUCAACAAGGAAAACUUGCCAAGUCGCUUUAAAUUUAAGGAGUAUUGUCCACUGGUGUUCCGAAACCUCCGAGAAAGAUUUGGGAUUGACGAUCAAGACUACCAGAACUCAGUGACACGAAGCGCCCCAGUGAACAGCGACAGCCAGGGCCGAUGUGGGGCCCGGUUCCUCACCACCUAUGACAGGAGGUUUGUCAUUAAGGCAGUGUCAAGCGAGGAUGUAGCAGAGAUGCACAACAUCUUAAAGAAGUACCAUCAGUUCAUAGUGGAGUGUCAUGGGAACACCCUCCUGCCCCAGUUCCUUGGCAUGUACCGGCUCACCGUGGACGGAGUGGAAACCUACAUGGUGGUUACCAGAAACGUAUUUAGUCACAGGCUGACUGUGCACCGGAAAUAUGACCUGAAGGGCUCGACGGUAUCCAGGGAAGCAAGCGAUAAAGAGAAGGCCAAGGAUCUACCAACCUUCAAGGACAACGACUUCUUGAAUGAGGGUCAGAAGCUGCAUGUUGGAGAAGAGAGUAAAAAGAACUUCCUUGAAAAACUGAAGCGGGAUGUGGAGUUUUUAGCUCAGCUGAAGAUUAUGGAUUACAGCUUGCUUGUUGGGAUCCACGAUGUUGACCGAGCAGAGCAGGAAGAGAUGGAAGUGGAGGAUCGGGCAGAGGAUGAGGAGUGUGAGAACGAUGGUCUAGGAGGCAACCCCAUUUCCUCCUAUGGCACACCCCCUGACAGCCCUGGCAAUCUCCUCAACUACCCUCGCUUCUUUGGGCCUGGAGAGUUCGAUCCUUCUGUCGACGUCUACGCCAUGAAAAGCCACGAAAGUGCCCCCAAGAAGGAAGUGUACUUCAUGGCCAUUAUAGACAUUCUUACGCCAUAUGAUGCAAAGAAGAAAGCUGCACAUGCUGCCAAAACAGUGAAACAUGGGGCUGGGGCAGAGAUUUCCACCGUGAAUCCAGAGCAGUACUCUAAACGCUUCAAUGAAUUUAUCUCCAAUAUCCUGACAUAGUCGUCUUCAGCCUUCAGUGAGAAAUGAAGAGAAGAGGGGCUACUUCCAAACAGAGAAUGCAGCCUGUGACACUAAAACAGACACUGUAGCAGCAUGUGGGGUGUGCAUGUGUGUAUGCGUGCGUGUGUGUGUGUGCAAGAGUGAGUGUGUGGCACUGUGUGACUUCCGAGAAAACUAAUUCUAGGUGCACCCUCCAACAGUCCACUUGACCCAGGUGGAAAAGUGGAUUUUUAUGUUACAGAAGUGCCCAGACAUAGAUUUGAGGGCUUUUUAAAACAAGAAAAGUGCAUUGUUUCAGCACUGCUCUUUCUAAUGACAUUUUCUCCUCUCUGAUCAAGAGAAUCCCAUAGGGAUAUGAUAUGUGGCACUGUAUAAAAGGGGUCGCUCUAGAUCACAUUCAGUGAGAGUGAAGCAGUGCCUGAUUCCACAAACUACUACUUUUUUUUUUUUUAUUGGACUGUAUUUACCAGAAAGACAUACAAGCCCUUUUAUUUCCCUCUUGAUAGGAAUUGGAAGGAAAAUAGCUCACCAUUUCAAGGAUGGAAAAUAUUACUCUGAUAAGGAGGAGUCGCUGAACUUUAGGAUUUAGAGUUUUGAACAAACCUCUUGCAGUUGAAACAUGUUGCUUAUCUGCCUUGAAACUGUUUUCACAUAUGCCUUUGUUUCGGGAAUAAGCUGUUUCGAAUGUCUGUCCUGUGCUGUAACGCGUGCUACAGUUUGCUGUGUGGAAUUUGGUCCUUUUGAGAGAUAACUGGUGCUCAUCACAUCCUGGUAAUUUCCCUAGACUAACGCUAGCUCUGGUCUGGAUUCUGAAUGUGGGCUUGGGUUUUUUUAUGUUCAUACCCACAUUUGUGAUGUGAAUCCAACAGGUCUCAACUUUGAAGGGGACAAAAGGGGGCUAAAGUUUCAGCCCAUAAGAGUGCACUGUAAAUAGAGUCUUUAAGAAAUCAAAAACUAAUAUUAGGGGUCAUAAUGAGAUAUGAAUCUUUUAUUCAUUCAUGGGUCAUUCCCUUUGACAUGGGACAAAUUUCUUCUGCCACUGUAGUCCAGUCCCUAUUCUGUGUGAUGUGGGGGCUAACACACCAUUGUCUGGGAGGCUGAAGAGUCUCAUGUCUUAAGGUGUGUAGCUGGAAAAGCCACAAAACAAAUGCAGCUAUGAGAAUACUUUAAAAAAGGGAGGACUUAGAGGGUAUCAUCAGCUUAGUUUUGUGGGCAUUAUGUUGGUUGCUUUUCUCUUAAACAAUAAGCACUUAAGUUUACUAUCAAUUAGAAAUUAAAUACCAAUCACUUUUUAUUCUUGACAGUUUUAAAAAUCUGCAUUGAAUCUGCAACUUUGGCCUGGUAAGUUUGCCGUUCUCCUUUUGGGAAACUAGCUUGUACCUUUUAAACUGUUUAUCUUUAAAUCAUGUAUUAAAAAAAUAAAAGAAAAAGGGGGGAGGAGGAGAGAAGGAAAUUAGUGAACUGCAGACAUCCUGCACUGAGACACUACAAAACAAACAACCCAAAGAAAGUAGAAGAAUGAAGCUUGCAUAGCUAGGAGCAACAGUCUCAUUUACUGAAUUUCAUAAACAGGAAUGAAAUUAAAAUGCAGUUAGUUCCUGCAGCAAUCUUUACAGAAGUCAUGAUGCUAAGGGCUAAGAGCAGUUAACUGUAUUUUCUUAUUCCACUCUAAACAAACUCCUGCUGGAAUUAAAUUGGCUGUCUCUGGCUCAAGUGAUAUGAAAAGCCCCAUAAACUCUAUUCACUUUAGCACUUCCCCAAUUCUGCCACUUCUGUCAAGUUGCCAUACCGUGUGUAUUAAAGUAAUUAAAUGCAAUUUUCUCACUUAAUGAUGUAUUACCCAGGUAUGUAACUUUGUUUAACAUAAGCAUUUUGUAUAUUGUUUACAUUUUGAGAGGUAGCAUUAUGUUAAAAAUGCUAAUUUUUGUUUCUAGACAGUAUUUUUAUUACCAGAAUAAGAAGUGAAGCUGCAAAUAUUUGAUUUGUUUUUAAAAGGGACUUUUUCUUUUGUUUUUGUUGUUUUGUUUUGUUUUUUUUUAAUCUUGUUUUAGGUCACUUUUUUAACUCAAGUAUUUAAAAGGAAAACCCAGCCCUUUCAAUUCUGGUUUUACAACUGCCUGUGCUAGUUUGUUGUCUGUUUCUGGUGUGAAUUUAGUUCUAGUUUGCUGAAUGUAGAUAUUUCUGUCUGUAGCAUGUACCCUGCGGAACACUUUACACUGAAGUGCAUUUGACUGAAAACCACCCUCGGCUGAAAGAGUUGCAAUAGGUAGGCAGAUCACUCAGAUCCUGGUCAGAGUGCAGGAUUUUUCAAGAAAUUGCAGUGCAAUUCUUGGGUCAACUGGAGUUUCAAAAAGAAAGAAAAACUUAGUGUGCAGUGUCUCUCUCCAGUGCCUGAAGGCAGGGUGAGUUUGUGUGAGAAGCAAGCUGCAGGAUCUGUAGUCCUGCCUGUACUGAGGGUCUCUCUCUUUCUGAACAUGGGCCUGAUCUGUCAAAAUUUAAGAACUAAAAACUGCUUUGAACCUAGAACUUAUCUUCCUCGUUGAGAUAGCUCCUACAGUGUAAAUAAGAGUGGGAGAAGGAAAGCAAGAGUUGCGGAGUCACAGUUUGGGUGCUGCUCUGCUCCAAUAGUGCAAUAAAAACCACUCGAGAACAUGUUGGGUCACCCUUUAAUAGGAACCACGUGUUCUGGAGGUACCACACAGCACCCACCCUUUGUGUCAGCGCUAGGAAGGAGGCCUGAUAUUUGCUAUAUGUAAGAAGAACGUCAGCAGGAGUUCACUUCUCACAGCAAGGAGCAGUGGGAUCCUUCCCUCUGGUCUUGUACACGCCUCUGAUUGAUUGACGUGUUUUUAAUUAUAAAAGCCACGAUCAUGACAUUCAUUACAGGGAGAACUUCUAGGGUAGUAGGUGACUCCAGAUUUCCUGCAUAAAUGAGGCUGUACUCCCACAUCUGAGAAUCCUAGUUUUGAAUUGGAUUAUCGUGAUCAGCAAGAACACUAAAACACUUGAGUCUUAUUUCCUUUUCUGGGAGGAAACUCCUGCUUUCCCCUCCAGAGCGCUGCCACAGGUUCCUUCAGUGGGGACAUCAGCUGGGGACUCGCCUCUUAGCCCAAGAAAGGCACAAAGCAAGGUUGUAUUGUAGUUAUGGGUCAUGUUUGGUAGGGGUUGUGUCUUAGCCUUGACGGACGGAUGCCUCCCAGUCCUGUGACUACUAUGCAGUCUUUAUAGAUGCCUCCCUUCAAGCUGCACAGAGGUCAAAGUGUUUAACCUCAAGGUGGUACAAACCUUUCAGAAGUCAGUGUGUGUGUCCUAAACUUGGUUUGCAACACUGCAUAACCAAUCUGAGACAGAUCGUCCUUACAAUAGCUCCAAAAACAAAACAGGUAUCCUCUCCCCAUCUGUGUCUUAAUGCCCCAUUGCAGGUUUGCCUGUCAACUUCCCCUACUUCUGCAGAGCCAUUCUCCAGUAUCCGUAUUAGCCACUACUGAUUUUCCUUGCUCUUUGAAACGAGUAUCUAUCUUGUGUAAUAGCGAUGGCAAAGCUCGGGGAACCAACUGCUGGUCAUCCAUCAUUUUUAGUGGUUUCAGUUUUCACCACUCAGAAAUUGUGCUGGUCUUUGUUUAGCUGCACAAUGCUAAAUGCGGCUGGAUUGAGUUGGGUCAAGUGAGCGUAUUACACACAGGUCACAUGGGUGGGCAGGGCUAAUCAGUGCAACUGAAAAAAUGUGAAUAAAUUAAGUUUAAUCUAAAACUAAAAAAAAAAAAGCAUUAUAGGUUUUUUCACUGCUGUUU